GACGAACGCUGGCGGCGUGCUUAACACAUGCAAGUCGAACGCUGAAGCUCAGCUUUUGUUGGGUGGAUGAGUGGCGAACGGGUGAGUAACACGUGAGUAACCUGCCCCCUUCUUUGGGAUAACGCCCGGAAACGGGUGCUAAUACUGGAUAUUCACUGGUCUUCGCAUGGGGGUUGGUGGAAAGGGUUUUUCUGGUGGGGGAUGGGCUCGCGGCCUAUCAGCUUGUUGGUGGGGUGAUGGCCUACCAAGGCUUUGACGGGUAGCCGGCCUGAGAGGGUGACCGGUCACAUUGGGACUGAGAUACGGCCCAGACGCCUACGGGAGGCAGCAGUGGGGAAAAUUGCACAAUGGGCGCAAGCCUGAUGCAGCGACGCCGCGUGAGGGAUGGAGGCCUUCGGGUUGUGAACCUCUUUCGCUCAUGGUCAAGCCGCAACAAUGGUUGUGGUGAGGGUAGUGGGUAAAGAAGCGCCGGCUAACUACGUG
rnacentral:rRNA from 1 species